rnacentral:lncRNA from 1 species
UCUAUGAGGGAGAUCUAGACUCAGAGAACAACAAUUAGAGCUGGCACAUCAGGUAUUUAGUGGGAAUCUGACCUACAAUAGCUUUUACAAAUGAUUACGAUUUCAUCAUCUUCUGAUCUGUCUUUUGGGAGCAUAUGGGAACUUGAAUUGAAAUAGAUGGGAUAGGUCCCAAUGCUUCAAGACACCUUUGAGUUUUCAAUGGGAUUUAGUUGAGAUUAGACUCAAUAUACCUCCUCGACUUGUCCGAGAUUUAAUUUAGGAUAUUUUGGGACGUUAUUAGGAAAAACUCUCUUCUACAGAAACACUACCUUUUGUAACAAUUGCUAAUUCUACAGAGUUUGCCUCUUUCUUUCCACUUCUCCUUCCAGUCACCUUUUGUACAUACACAAAUCUAGGUUCUCUGAAUGUCAAGUUGACUGAAGGUUCGGUGUAAACUUAACUGUCAAAGCAACAAGCAUUCUAAUGUCGAGAUGUUCAAAAGGCAUGACUAGUUGUACUCUCAAAUUGUCAUUUAGUUGCCUUUUCGCAGGUUCUCAAGUAUAGACUAUUGCUUCAGACAGACUAUACGUAUAUUACGUAGGAUUGAAUCUCUGAGUAGCUUUUCUUGCUCUGUAUAUAGACAAACUCUUUGCUUUUGAGAAGUCUUUUCCCACGUGAUGAAGAAGAAAGAGAAGUACAAUUUGAUCAAAUUACUUCCAGAUUAAAAUGUGAAAUGAAUGAAUCAACUUUAAAUCUUUGAACAUCAAUAAAGCUAACCAGGAAAGCAAGUCUAUACCAGGGACGGUUUGCACUGCCAUGUGGAUUUUGGGUUUGUUUAGUGUAGCCUAUUAAGGCAAUCCAGAGAACCUCAAAGAAAUUAUGCAUCCUUGAGUCAAAGGUGGCUUGGGGAAGUUAACCUUUUCACUUUCUGGAAA